rnacentral:lncRNA from 1 species
CAGUGUUGUAACGAGUCACCUAUAGGUCGAGUCACGAGUCGAGUCAUUUCAGUUUCUGAUCGAGUCGAGUCAGUGGCUUCACUCGAGUCGAGUCAGCAGUUUUACUCGAGUCAAGUCGAGUCAUUGGUUUAAGUCGAGUCGAGUCAAUAGCUAGACUUAACUUGAGUCAGGGAAUUUGAUCAAGUCCACCCACAUCCUUGUCCCCAGGGCCUCUCGGCCGCGCGCGUCCUCCCUAGGCCCUGGAACAUACGGAACCGGAAGUGCAAGUAAACUUGCAGUAGUUUCUAAAGCGCAUGGUCUUGAAUUGGGACACUUUAGCACCCGUAACAAUUUUCAAAGUGAAGUAUUACGAAGAAACGAAGUAUUUGCGUUGACAUAUGUUGAUAGAAUAAUUUUUCCUAGCUAAAACUGCUCAACUUCUGCGAAAUAGGAUUUCACUGAGAAGCCAAUCAGAUCUCUCGCUUUAGUCGCCUAACCCACAGCCUACUUUUCAACGAAUGACCGAGUGAAAAUGGCUCUGGGGACGAGAAUGGUCCACCUCACGCUUUUUGUAAUGGUUCGCUACCUUAGCUUGCAGUUUGAAAUUAGUAAUCAAAUCUACGUUUUAAGCUAAUCACUUUAGUCAUGUAAUAACAGUAUCUGGGCAGCCAUAGGCUGUACCAUGUCACAGUUCUAGUCAAUAUUAAGUACAACCACAUGAGAUGUCUCAUCAUGCCUGCUUAUCGAGUGUACG